ensembl:lncRNA
GUCUUGGUGCCAGAUACCACAGCACACCUUCAGAGUCUUCUGGAGUCCAUGCCUUGACGGGUCAGAGCUGUUUCGGUGGCACAAGCAGGACCUACACAAUAUUAGGCAGGUGGUUUUAAUGUUAUGGCUGAUUGGUGUAUAUGACAGAGCUUAUUGUCUGUGCAAUGCCUUUAUUGCACAUAACCGCACUCAACAUUCAUCCCCUAGUUUAAAACUAAUGACUUCUAUAUGAAAUUUUAUCUGUAACCAUUUCUAGUAGCAUCAUAUCUGUGAUAAUAUGGACUACAUUUAUAAGAAUUAUGUUUACAUAAUAUGUCUUCAAAGACAAUAAACUGAGACUCUGUUAGCUAGCUAAUAUUACAUAACUAACUAAACUUCUGGUCAUAUUGCCUUAAUAUUGACAGUGUAGGGUCCUUCUUAAGGGCUUGAUAGUGGGUCAGUACCAGUCCUGAAUUUGAACUUACAACCUUCUGAUCACUGGGAGCUGUGAGGACUUUAAACACCCCCCUCCCUAUUUUUUUUUUUAAUAAGAGCAUCAGUGUGCUGUAUAUUCAAAAAGCACUUGUCCUACCAUCAUUAUGAACCCUGUGGUGCACUUUACAUUGUAAAUAUUUACAACAUUAAAACCUAAUACUGAAAAAAAAAAAUCGUCUACACCAAGUGCUUGACAUGCAGCUAGUGUGUACUUCAAAAUACUGCAGCGACACACAGCCACUGUUAAGUCUGGUUUAAAUAAGUGUGACAGGACAAACAGCACUUCCUAACAGGCCUUACGAAUUAGCAUAGGCACACGGCCACAAUCUUUUUAUGUCCUGGUUACAGCAGGGACUCCAGCUGGCAUUGAAAACAGGAUUGGAGAAAGAAACUGCUGCGUCUGGAAAGUGCAUCUGUUCCAUGGGCAUUUCUCUCAAAGCUUCACGGGUACUAAAGCCUCUCGCAGCCCUAAGCAACGUUCUGUCAAAUACAUCCGCUAGCAUCAUAUAAAUCUAUUUUCCUGUACAGAGCAUUUCCACAUCCCUCCUUCAUCACAGUCUGCUGCGAGUAAACCACAUACUGUAGCACAAUCGUCAGCUUGUUAGUUAGCUAGCUAAACUGCAGAAUAGGAUACUGAAUAUGUACGAUGAUCACUAACUCUUUAGUAUAUUGUGAGGUUUACUAGACAACAGUCUAAACUUAUCUAGCUAGCCAAUUCCUAUCUAUUUAGCUAGCAGGUCAUCAACCCAGAAUACUGUCGCAUCUUAAAUUCUUCAAUUUAUGCCACUGGGAAUCGAACAAAUUCCACACAGCCAGUUUAUUCGACUUUAGUUUGCACUCAGCCAAAAAUAAAGUGAGAGAAGGAGAUAUUAUUGUUAUCUAACAAAUACAUCAGCACUCUGGCAUAAAGUUCAUUUGCCACAAAAAUUUGACUUACAAUGAACCAAUAUCGCCAAUGCUAGAGGCAGCGUACAGGCUUAUCUAACAUUAACUAACUAUGACAGAUCAUAUCAGUGAGCAUGCCUUUGAAUCCAUACUGUAUAAUGUAUUUUGAUAUUGUAGUGUAGAUUUGUUUGCACUCAAAGUUUGUUUGUUUUUUUAAUAUUGGUCACGUUAUCCAAUAUUAGUCACGCCAACCAUCAGCAGUGAAGGUUAUGGACAUUUAUACAGAUAUUAUUUUAAAAUCCUGUCAGGUUAGCUGAUGUUAGAUAUAUACGUAACUAUUGUUAGCAGUGAAGAUCAUGAACAUUUAUGAAUAGGACUUAAAUAUCCUGUCGGAAAUCCUGAAAUAUUAGCUUGCUAGCUAGCAAGCUAGCAGGCUAGCGCUAGAAGUGAAGAUCCUUACAAAUCUUAAAAAUCCUGUCAGGUUAGCUGAAGUUAGUUAAAUAGCUAUUUAUAGACGUGAAGAUCAUGAAACUGUAGACUUAAAUACCUUGCCAGAAAUCCUGUCAAAUUAGCUAGCUGUCUAGCACUAGCAAUAAAGAUUAUGAUCAUUUAUAUAUGAUUUAAAAAUCCUCCUAAGAACCUGUCAGGUUAGCUCAUAUUAGUCAUAUAGCUGUUGUCAGUUCUUGUUAGUUAUAUAGCUAUUGUUAGUAGCUAGGUAACAUGAAUAUGUCUGAACAGCUAAGUAGGUUCUGCUAAUGUCCGAUGAGUACCAAGUAAUUUGGAGAGCUGAUGUUGGAUGGAUAAAAUAUUAGCUUUGAUUUGUCCAGACCAACAACUCAUGGUCAAGAACAUGCAGACUGAAUAAAUGUGCAGAAGUUCCAUUGUUUCACAAUAACAGGAAGUGGACUCUUAAUGUUAUGGAAUCAAACAGUGCUGCAUGUUGACUAGCAAGUUAAUGUUAGCGUUCCCACUCCAUUUUGGUAGCUAACAGCAACUAGCAAGCAGAUUAAGUGUUUUCAUGUUUCAGGAACAAUCCAUGUAACUUUUAUGAAGAUUUCUACCGUGGUUAUGAGAGACGACACGUAGCUGUAUUGUUGUUGUCUCACUAUCAAGUCACUUUUUCUUUACUCUGCACCUGAUGGCACUGCUGAGAUGCUAGCUCUAACACUAGCUCUGUACAGAUAAUGGGGGGGAAAACUACAAUGACACCGUCACACACAGACUUCACAGUUUUGAUUCAUGAGAAGUCGAUCAGUCACGCUUUAGAAAUUUAUCAGGCCUUUUACACACUUUUCUAACUAAUAAAUAACAAUUCAUGACUUCAUUAUGGGCAAAUUUGCAUUAUAUCAAAUAAAGGAAGGAAUGCCACUGGGCUAAGUAUAAUUUUCUAGAAUUCGCUCAUGCUGAUUUUGCCAGGUGACCAAAAAAAAAAAAGGGUGGAGCUUACAUAAAAUGUAAAUCAGCCAAUCACAAACUUGAUCGAGUGACAUCACCACAACAGUUUAGCUAACAAACAAAUGUUGCUACUUAUUUUAAAUAAACAAUUGCGACUGUUUAUUAGUCAGUCAGCCUGCAAGUAUGUUAGAUAACUGGAAGGCUGGCAGCGUUGUGCUACACUGUGGUAGCAGGCUAGCUUUGCUAAUGUUGCUAUCCUAUUAUCUUGUGUAAACAAACGGUAAUUUAUGUGAACG